rnacentral:rRNA from 1 species
UGCAGUCGAGCGGUAGCACAGGGAGCUUGCUCCUGGGUGACAGCGGCGGACGGGUGAGUAAUGUCUGGGAAACUGCCUGAUGGAGGGGGAUAACUACUGGAAACGGUAGCUAAUACCGCAUAACGUCUACGGACCAAAGUGGGGGACCUUCUGGCCUCAUGCCAUCACAUGUGCCCAGAUGGGAUUAUCUAGUAGGUGGGGUAAUGGCUCACCUAUGCGACAAUCCCUAUCUGGUCUGAGAGGAUGACCAGCCACACUGGAACUGAGACACGGUCCAGACUCCUACGGGAGGCAGCAGUGGGGAAUAUUGCACAAUGGGCGCAAGCCUGAUGCACCCAUGCCGCGUGUGUGAAAAAAGCCUUCGGGUUGUAAAGCACUUUCACCGAGGAGGAAAGGUUCAGUGUUAAUAGCACUGUGCAUUGACGUUACUCGCACAAAAAACACCGGCUAACUCCGUGCCACCACCCGCGGUAAUACGGAGGGUGCAAGCGUUAAUCGGAAUUACUGGGCGUAAAGCGCACGCACGCGGUUUGUUAAGUCACAUGUGAAAUCCCCGCGCUUAACGUGGGAACUGCAUUUGAAACUGGCAAGCUAGAGUCUUGUAUAGGGGGGUAGAAUUCCAGGUGUAUCGGUGAAAUGCGUAUAGAUCUGGAGGAAUACCGGUGGCGAAAGCGGCCCCCUGGACAAAGACUGACGCUCACGUGCGAAAGCGUGUGGAGCA